ensembl:lncRNA
CGCGGGCUCCCCCCGCUGCCAGGAAAGUGCAUCUCCCUCAGCGUCCCUUCCUCGUCGAAUCGUCUAUCAGAAAACGCGUGCAUCAAGCAAGCAGAUGCGUCGGCAAAUAACCCGGUCGGCAAAAACCAAGAGCAGGGAGGCAAGGGAACGGGAGCACCGUUUCCCAGCCCACGUUCCCCAAAAGGCGAUGCUCCUCCUGCGAGGUCUGGCCCCUCUGCGUCACCCCGGGCCUACGAGGCCGGCUGCGGGGCUUCAGGGCUCCGCGGAAUCCCGGCUCGCGUCAGUCAGGACGCGGGGACACGGAGGUGCCGGGCACGGGGGGAAGACGAGCGCUGCGCGGAGCGGUGCUUCCAGCCCCAAAGCAAAGCCUGCGUGGCGGUGGGAAGGUCGCGCCGAGGGAUGGCCACGAAAGCGGCCCGCAGCCGAGCCCGCUGACUCAUUUUUGGCCGCCUGGGGAGGUGCAGCACCUCUCACCUCUGCCAUUCUGUUCCCUGGGGUUUUCCCUCUCCCCUUGUUCGAGCAGGAGCUGAAUUACCAAAAGCGCUCAUCACGUGGCCCCGAGAGUGCAGACCCAGUUUCAUUUACUGUAAGUGCACGGGCUCGAAAAUACUCCGGUUUCCCGCAGAACAGAAGAGACACAGGAGGUGAGGGCUUUGCACAACGGUUUGGGUCCCCUCAUCCCACUCACCUGAGAUAUUUCCUCGGGGGGGAAGAAGCCCGCCGUGCCCGGCUCAAACUCCAUGGGGCUGCCGGUGCCAACCCACUGCUGCGCUCCGGCAUCCCCACCGAUCUCCUGCGCUCCUGCUCCAGCCGGCUCCUGCAGAGGGAACGCACCUUCCUUAGCAGGAUAGGAUGCGGGAUGCUGUGCAAGGAGGGCUGCCUUCAGAAAGCAACUUUCAGCAAUUAACACCAGCUGGCCGGCGUGCCCCACAGGUGCGAGCAGCGGGAUGCUGCCAUGGGAUGGAUUAGCAGCGCUGGAGGUUGGCUUCAGUCGGGGAGGUGCGGGGAAAUAAGAGGGGUGGGAGGAUGCAGAGGAGCCCUGCUUGCUGCACCAGGGCAGCAGCGUCCCUGUCCCGUGCCAUAUGGAUCUGUCUUAUCCUUCCCAAGCUCCUGCCUGGGUUUAUAGGGAGGAGAGGAUCGGGGCAGCUUUCCCACGGCCGCUGGCCGGCUACACCCAUUGGGAAGCACGUGGGGUUUUUCCCAUCAGAAAAUGCCUUUGCUAUGGGAAACUGUGGGCUGGGACUGCCCAACUGGGAGCGAGAGGCAGAAAUGGGGAUGGGAUCCCAGCAAAGGCUUUUGGCUUUUCAAAUCCAGUGGGAAAACUCCCACGUGGAGCGAAGGCAGAGGCCCUAGGAAGCCCUGGGAAAGGUCUUGCUUCCGAGGAUUUGCAGCAAAACCCUGAGUGGGAG